rnacentral:rRNA from 1 species
GAUGAACGCUGGCGGCGUGCCUAAUACAUGCAAGUCGAACGGAGAAUGUAGCAAUAUAUUCUUAGUGGCGAACGGGUGAGUAACGCGUUGGUGACCUGCCCCGAAGAGGGGGAUAACAGCCCGAAAGGACUGCUAAUACCCCAUGUGGUCAUUAGGAUUAGAUGCCUUUUGACUAAAGGAGAAAUUCACUUUGGGAGGGGCCUGCGUCCCAUCAGCUAGUUGGUAAGGUAACGGCUUACCAAGGCUAUGACGGGUAGGGGACCUGAGAGGGUGACCCCCCACAAUGGAACUGAAACACGGUCCAUACACCUACGGGAGGCAG